GGAGGGUGCAAGCGUUAUCCGGAUUCACUGGGUUUAAAGGGUGCGUAGGUGGGCAAGUAAGUCAGUGGUGAAAUCUCCGGGCUUAACCCGGAAACUGCCAUUGAUACUAUUUGUCUUGAAUACUGUGGAGGUCAGCGGAAUAUGUCAUGUAGCGGUGAAAUGCUUAGAUAUGACAUAGAACACCAAUUGCGAAGGCAGCUGGCUACACAAAUAUUGACACUGAGGCACGAAAGCGUGGGGAUCAAACAGGAUUAGAUACCCUGGUAGUCCACGCCCUAAACUAUGGAUACUCGACAUUUGCGAUAAACUGCAAGUGUCUGAGCGAAAGCAUUAAGUAUCCCACCUGGGAAGUACGACCGCAAGGUUGAA
rnacentral:rRNA from 1 species